rnacentral:rRNA from 2 species
CGUGAGUGAUGAAGGCUUUCGGGUCGUAAAACUCUGUUGUUAGGGAAGAACAAGUACAAGAGUAACUGCUUGUACCUUGACGGUACCUAACCAGAAAGCCACGGCUAACUACGUGCCAGCAGCCGCGGUAAUACGUAGGUGGCAAGCGUUAUCCGGAAUUAUUGGGCGUAAAGCGCGCGCAGGCGGCUUCUUAAGUCUGAUGUGAAAGCCCACGGCUCAACCGUGGAGGGUCAUUGGAAACUGCCGAACUUGACUGCAGAAGACA